AGUGAACGCUGGCGGUAGGCCUAACACAUGCAAGUCGAACGGCAGCACAGGAGAGCUUGCUCUCUGGGUGGCGAGUGGCGGACGGGUGAGGAAUACAUCGGAAUCUACUCUGUCGUGGGGGAUAACGUAGGGAAACUUACGCUAAUACCGCAUACGACCUACGGGUGAAAGCAGGGGAUCUUCGGACCUUGCGCGAUUGAAGGAGCCGAUGUCGGAUUAGCUCGUUGGCGGGGAAAAGGCCCACCAAGGCGACGAUCCGUAGCUGGUCUGGGAGGAUGAUCAGCCACACUGGAACUGAGACACGGUCCAGACUCCUACGGGAGGCAGCAGUGGGGAAUAUUGGACAAUGGGCGCAAGCCUGAUCCAGCCAUACCGCGUGGGUGAAGAAGGCCUUCGGGUUGUAAAGCCCUUUUGUUGGGAAAGAAAUCCAGCUGGCUAAUACCCGGUUGGGAUGACGGUACCCAAAGAAUAAGCACCGGCUAACUUCGUGCCAGCCGCCGCCGUAA
rnacentral:rRNA from 1 species